ACCUUCUGAUGAGAAAUCUGCCCCUGAAGUUUCUAACAGUUUGACACAAUUUUGUCUUCCUUUGAAGUGAAGAUGACUUCAACACCACUGGAACCAUCAACGCUCAGUGUGGAUACAGCCAGUGGCUCGGAUGCUUAUGGAAAUGCCAUACAAGGGAUCUCUCGCGUCUUGUUGUCAGAGGAGGUCUUCGAGUUCUUCCUAUGGAAGUGACGAGCACUGCAGAGUCUCGGGAGCUGUGUGUGUGUGUGUGUAUGUGUGUAAGCUAUUUAAUUCUUACAUGUUUUUGACUUCCAUUUUGUGAAAAGAAAUAUAUGUGGAAAAAAUACAGUGGCUCAUUGAGGA